GCGUGAGUGAAGAAGGCCCUAGGGUUGUAAAGCUCUUUCACCAAGGACGAUGAUGACGGUACUUGGACAAGAAGCCCCGGCUAACUCCGUGCCAGCAGCCGCGGUAAUACGGAGGGGGCUAGCGUUGUUCGGAAUUACUGGGCGUAAAGCGCGCGUAGGCGGUAAUCCAAGUCAGGCGUGAAAGCCCCGGGCUCAACCUGGGAACUGCGCUUGAUACUGGAUAACUAGAGGCCGGGAGAGGGUAGUGGAAUUCCCAGUGUAGAGGUGAAAUUCGU
rnacentral:rRNA from 1 species